UCCUAACCGACCUAUGGGGGUUAGCGACUUACAUAAGUUAGCGACUCACGAAGACAUUCAGCAACACACAUGAAAGAAACAGACGAAGGAUAAAGUGAAAGGAGCUUUCAUUCAAAGUUCAAAAAAAGUUUACAAAGUCGGGUCGAAGCCCGAUUACGAGUAUUCCAAAAAGGAAAAAGACAAAGGAAACAAAAGUCGGCAAGGCCCGAUCACCCUUCUGAGUCGAUCUCCUCGACCGACGGAAGAUCGGGGAUGAUCGGUGUGUCGAC
rnacentral:lncRNA from 1 species